UGGCUGUUCAUGUGGGACCCGUUGUCCUCAGAUUGCUAGAGCUCCUGUGAGUUAUGUACUGACUGGGUUUACCCCUUAAAUUGUCAGUGAACGGGGCAACUAGAGGGCACUGGGUUCCGCAUGAUGAUGGGCUGAUGGAUUGGUUGGG